rnacentral:piRNA from 1 species
CGCAUUAGCCAGUGUUUACUUCCAGUCC